GGGUGAUGAACAUUGAGAUAGUCAUGCACUACUCUGAUUGUCUGUGCUGAUAAAUCUCAUAACCGUAUUUUCCUAAGCCC
rnacentral:snoRNA from 1 species